rnacentral:rRNA from 1 species
UUUCAUUAAUCAAGAACGAAAGUUAGGGGAUCGAAGACGAUCAGAUACCGUCGUAGUCUUAACCAUAAACGAUGCCGACCAGCGAUUAGGAGACGUUGAAUACAAAACACCACCAUCGGUGCGGUCGUCCUUGGCGUCUCGGUCCUUCACGGGGCCGGGGCGCGGGGGUGGCUUAGCCCGGUGGCACCGGUGAAUGACUCCCCUAGCAGCUUGUGAGAA